GAGUCCCCCAACCCGUCUCGAACCUCCAGGGCUGCUGUCAUGUCACCCUGGUGCUCACAAAGCCAACUCACUCCCACCCCCGUUGUUGCCAUUGGAGCGUUAUUCCGGGGAAGGCCCUGUUAAUGUUGCUUGGGCGGUGCAUUCGGAAGGGUUGGGGUGUGAAAGGUGACGGUGUGUGAUAUCACUCAGACGCGUUAUGAGGACGGCCUACGAGGACUUCACCCUCUGGAGCUGGGAACCGCUGCCCACUUACAGGGAGGCCGAGGCGUAGGAAAACUGGAAUUCCAAAAGAGUAAUCAAGUCAGAGGAUUAUAUGACUUUUAUCUGCCUAGAGAAGAACUAUGGAUCUACAACAUGGAGACUGGAAGAUGGAAAAAAAUCAACACUGAAGGUGAUGUUCCUCCUUCUAUGUCAGGAAGCUGUGCUGUGUGUGUAGACAGGGUGCUGUACUUGUUUGGAGGACACCAUUCAAGAGGCAAUACCAAUAAGUUCUAUAUGCUGGAUUCAAGGUCUACAGACAGAGUGUUACAGUGGGAAAGAAUUGAUUGCCAAGGAAUUCCUCCAUCAUCAAAGGACAAACUUGGUGUCUGGGUAUAUAAAAACAAGUUAAUAUUUUUUGGAGGGUAUGGGUAUUUGCCUGAAGAUAAAGUAUUGGGAACUUUUGAAUUCGAUGAAACAUCUUUUUGG
rnacentral:sRNA from 1 species